UACAGAGGGUGCGAGCGUUAAUCGGAAUUACUGGGCGUAAAGCGCACGUAGGCGGCUUGGUAUGUCGGGUGUGAAAUCCCCGGGCUCAACCUGGGAACUGCAUCCGAAACUGCCUGGCUUGAGUACCGGAGAGGGUGGCGGAAUUCCCGGUGUAGAGGUGAAAUUCGUAGAUAUCGGGAGGAACACCAGUGGCGAAGGCAGGUCUCCGGGCACUUACUGACGCUGAGGAGCGAAAGCGUGGGGAGCAAACAGG
rnacentral:rRNA from 1 species